rnacentral:rRNA from 1 species
GAUGAACGCUGGCGGCGUGCCUAAUACAUGCAAGUCGAGCGAAUGGAUUAAGAGCUUGCUCUUAUGAAGUUAGCGGCGGACGGGUGAGUAACACGUGGGUAACCUGCCCAUAAGACUGGGAUAACUCCGGGAAACCGGGGCUAAUACCGGAUAAUAUUUUGAACUGCAUGGUUCAAAAUUGAAAGGCGGCUUCGGCUGUCACUUAUGGAUGGACCCGCGUCGCAUUAGCUAGUGGGUGAGGUACCGGCUCACCAAGGCAACGAUGCGUAGCCGACCUGAGAGGGUGAUCGGCCACACUGGGACUGAGGCACGGCCCAGACUCCUACGGGAGGCAGCAGUAGGGAAUCUUCCGCAAUGGACGAAAGUCUGACGGAGCAACGCCGCGUGAGUGAUGAAGGCUUUCGGGUCGUAAAACUCUGUUGUUAGGGAAGAACAAGUGCUAGUUGAAUAAGCUGGCACCUUGACGGUACCUAACCAGAAAGCCACGGCUAACUACGUGCCAGCCGCCGCAGUAA